CCUGUUAAGAACAACAUUUUUUCUUUGCGAUUUUGCGGCGUUUGCAAAACAUAAUUUGGCUUGUAAACAAAUCUAGUUCAAGGUUGCUACAUUUAGCAUCGAUUUGUGAUUCGUAAAAGGAGAAAACCAAAGAAAAUAAUUUUAAGUUAAUUAUACUAUUUGUUGCUAAAAUGUGUGAUAAAAGCCAUCCGACGUCUUCAAAUGCCCCUGGUGAAGCCAUUAAUGAGCAUCAAGAAAAGAUCGAGGCAGAAUUUAAAACCAUUCAGAAAUGCUGUGUAUACAUUGGAAACAUCCCAUCUUUUGUAUCAAAGCUCGAAUUGGUUGAAAGGUUUUCCAAAUUCGGUGAUAUGUGCAACAUUUUUGUGCAACCAAACAGACCGCACUGCGACGUUAAAGCAGCAAUUGUUCGAUAUUGUUCGGAACGUAGUGUGAAAAGAGCUCUUUGUUUACAUAAUAACGAAUUUCAUAACUCUGUGUUAAUAGUCAUACAAGUAGGAUUGUCUCACUCAAAAUAUCUACUGACCUACAAUACUUGCAUUGCAGUGAAUGUCAGUGACGAUACUCCACUAAUUUACGUUUAUGAUGAAUUUGAAAAAGUUGGCAGUAUUUUUCACAUUUUUAAAUCAAUAAAUAAUAUAAUUUAUGUUGACUUUAAAGAGUAUCUAGAUAUGGAAACGGCUGUGGCUUCUCAGUCUUUUAUAAUAAACGAUCGUAUCCUUAAAAUUUCCAGAAAUAAGAAAAAUAUAAACAUGUGUCUUUUAUACUUAGAGAGCUUGACUGAUACCGCAAAUAUGGUAAAAGUAAAAGAAUACAUUUUAUACGAUUUCAAAGCAUUUUGGAAAACUAAAAAGAAGUUAUCACCAAAUGUCCAGGAAGAUGAAACUUGGGAACCUAUUCCAGGGCCAUCAAAACCAUCAAAACGUACUCGGUCUCCCUAAACUACCAUCAGUCAUACUGACUGCUCUGAGGAACUGAGUACACUUCGAGUGUAUUCUUUGGAAUGGAUACACCGCUGCUCGUUGGAAUAAUCGAUGUUCUUAAUUCUACCUCAUCAUGUUAGUUAAUUAACGAAGACAAUAGCUUGAUAUCAAACUUGCCAAAAAAUUCAUUUUUACGUAACACAUAUUAUAAGUUGCCCAUUGAUCUGAUCCAUAUCUGAUUUCUUUUUAAUGUUUGAAUAAGAGUAAAAACUCUACGUAAAAUGAUUUCGUUUUUUCACAUGAUAACAGCUCAAUAAUCAGACGUAUUUAUCAAACCUAUUGAAACUUUAUUCAAUCACAAAAAAAAUGUUGCCAUAAAUUUCCAAAUUGCCAUAUAAUGUACAAAUUGUAGAAAUAAAGUCGUGUUAAAUAUAUGUUAAAAAA